rnacentral:rRNA from 1 species
UACGGAGGGUGCAAGCGUUAAUCGGAAUUACUGGGCGUAAAGCGCACGCAGGCGGUCUGUCAAGUCGGAUGUGAAAUCCCCGGGCUCAACCUGGGAACUGCAUUCGAAACUGGCAGGCUAGAGUCUUGUAGAGGGGGGUAGAAUUCCAGGUGUAGCGGUGAAAUGCGUAGAGAUCUGGAGGAAUACCGGUGGCGAAGGCGACCCCCUGGACAAAGACUGACGCUCAGGUGCGAAAGCGUGGGGAGCAAACAGGAUUAGAUACCCUGGUAGUCCACGCCGUAAACGAUGUCGAUUUGGAGGUGGUGCCCUUGAGGCGUGGCUGCCGGAGCUAACGCGUUAAGUCGACCGCCUGGGGAGUACGGCCGCAAGGUUAAA